rnacentral:lncRNA from 1 species
GGUGCCUCUCAAAGCUUCCACAUCUUUCCCAGGUGUCACCAUCAGCAGGAGACUGAGAUUUCAAACACUGUGCAGAAUAUUUCACAUGAUACCUUGAGAAGAAAGGAUUCCUUCUACCAGAGGCAGUGGAUUAAGAGGACAGUAGGAGUACGGAGGAAAAGAAUCUGCAACAGGACUGCUGCAUUUCCCAGGUAGAAGAUGGACAGAAGCCACACACCCCCAGAAGGUGCUGAAAAGCUGCUAAGUAGCAGAAAAUGUGAGAUUUGAUGCACAGAGAUACACAUAGUGUAUCCAUACACUGUGAUACACAGUGAUACAUAUAGUGG